UGUGUUCAUUAUGGGCUUCACCUUCUCUACUCUGCGGGGUGCCGAGCAACUGAGCAGAGCUGGGAGGUCGGCCAGGCUGCCUGUUGGAGCUCAUGGAGGCAUCCCCACCUAGGGGAGAAGACGGCUUGGCCAGCUGAAGCUUGAAAAUAUCAGUAACUUUGUCUUCCAAACUACACCUAACAACCCAGAGAAUCUGGAGUGACUUCCCCCUUCUUUUGUCCACACACUCUGCUUUCUUGGCUUUUAGUGGCUUCUUUAUCCUUUGUGGAGUCCUUGGUGUUAAUUUUCAUUUGAUUUCACCUGUGUGUAUUGAAGUGGGGAAAAGGAGGCCAACGGGUAGAAGAGGCACAUUAUGGUUGUCCCAACUCUACAGAAUAACCUGGGUCCAUGUGCCCUCCCGACCUGAGGAAAUCUUAUGGAGGGGGUGGCCCUGUGGCUCUCAGCACCUGAUCAAUGAUCCCUUCACUCUUAACAUCAGGAAACAGAGAAAUGCAAUCUUCCCGACAUGGCUCUUCCUGACAACCUGGGUACCCCACUGUCUCUAGCCACACCUUUCUUCUGAGACAAAUAAGGAACUUUAAUUUGGGCUCCUGAGUGAAAAUAACAGAUAGUCAUCAAAAACAGAAGGCUCAGGCUGGGUGUGGUGGCUCAUGCCUGUAAUCCCAGCACUUUGA